GGAGUCGGCCGGGCAGUCGCCGGGGUAAGCCCUGGAGGAAAGUCCGGGCUCCAUUGGGCAGGGUGCCAGGUAACACCUGGGGGGCGUGAGCCUAUGGAAAGUGCCACAGAAAAUAUACCGCCAGUCUGGUGACUGGUAAGGGUGAAAUGGUGCGGUAAGAGCGCACCGCACAGGUGGUAACACCUGUGGCAUGGCAAACCCCACCCGGAGCAAGACCGAAUAGAGGAGCGCAAGAGUGUGCCCACACGAGUUCCCGGGUAGGUUGCUAGAGGUAUGCGGUGACGCUAACCCAAGAUGAAUGACUGCUCUCGACAGAACCCGGCUUAUAGGCCGACUCCUAUU
rnacentral:RNase_P_RNA from 1 species